rnacentral:lncRNA from 1 species
AUUUGGGAAAGGUUUCUUUGGAGGGAGCUGUUGCUGUCCAAGCAAAGGAGGCAUCACAGAGGAUGCUCUCUGCUUCCACUCUAGUCUAACGGUGGUGAGAUCUUCCAUGGGACCGUUCACAGAGGUUGAAAUGUGUUCCAUGCAUAGGCUGGUGCCUAAUGCCCACCUGAGAGGGUGAAAGCAACCUGUGGCCACAAAAGAGAAGCGGCUGCCUUGGGAUGGAUGAGCACUGCUAGCGUUUGUCAAAGGAAGCAAGAGAAACCUCAUUAAAUUGGAGUCGGGAGGCCAAAAAGGGGAGCUCUCAUCGCUACAUCAAUAGCAGAGCCCAACGGGAAGAAAGACUUCCUUUUCUUGACCAGCAAGAACCUCAGCCAAUGAGAAACUGUCACAACUCAGCCAAUGGAAAGCCCCUACCCCUCAACCUCUUUGUUUACAAUUGCCCUCCCAACUUCCUCUUCCC